rnacentral:rRNA from 1 species
GUAUGAACGGCCGGACAAGAGAAACCCUGUCUCUGCUAUUAUAUUAGAAUUUAACUUUUAAGUGAAAAGGCUUAAAUUUUUCAAGGGGACGAUAAGACCCUAUAAAGCUUUAUAUAUUAAUUAGAGUUAAUUAAAUUGAGUAGAUAAAAAUUUAGUCUUAAAAAUAUAUUUAGUUGGGGCGACGAAAGUAUAAUUGAUAAUAACUGCUUAAAUUUAAUACAAUAAUAAAUGAUUUUUUUUUAAUUGAUCCUUUUUAAAGAUUAAAGACCAAGUUACUUUAGGGAUAACAGCGUAAUUUCUUUUGAGAGUCCAUAUCGAAGAAGAAGUUUGCGACCUCGAUGUUGAAUUAAAAUAUCUUUAUAGUGCAGCAGCUAUAAAAAGAAGGUCUGUUCGACCUUUAAUUUUUUACGUGAUCUGAGUU